rnacentral:rRNA from 1 species
GAUGAACGCUGGCGGCGUGCCUAAUACAUGCAAGUCGAGCGAACGGACGAGAAGCUUGCUUCUCUGAUGUUAGCGGCGGACGGGUGAGUAAAACGUGGAUAACCUACCUAUAAGACUGGGAUAACUUCGGGAAACCGGAGCUAAUACCGGAUAAUAUUUUGAACCGCAUGGUUCAAAAGUGAAAGACGGUCUUGCUGUCACUUAUAGAUGGAUCCGCGCUGCAUUAGCUGGUUGGUAAGGUAACGGCUUACCAAGGCAACGAUGCAUAGCCGACCGGAGAGGGGGGUCGGCCGCCAUAGAGCUGAGCAGCGGUCCAGACUCCUACGGGAGGCAGCAGUAGGGAAUCUUCCGCAAUGGGCGAAGGCCUGACGGAGCAACGCCGCGUGAGUGAUGAAGGUCUUCGGAUCGUAAAACUCUGUUAUUGGGGAAGAACAUAUGUGGAAGUAACUGUGCACAUCUUGACGGUACCUAAUCAGAAAGCCACGGCUAACUACGUG